rnacentral:rRNA from 13 species
UUUGAAGUGGGAACGCCAGUUCUCAUGGAGCCAACCUUGAAAUACCAGCCUGACAUGUUUGAGGUUCUAACUUGGUCCCCUUAUCGGGGAUGAGGACACUGUGUGGUGGGUAGUUUGACUGGGGCGGUCUCCUCCCAAAGAGUAACGGAGGAGUGCGAAGGUAACCUCAGCGCGGUCGGAAAUCGCGCAGUGAGUGCAUAGGCAUAAGGUUGCUUGACUGCAAGACAAACAAGUCGAGCAGGUACGAAAGUAGGUCUUAGUGAUCCGGUGGUUCUGUAUGUAAGGG